AACGCGAAGAACCUUACCCAGGCUUGACAUGCAAAGGAAGCUAUCAGAGAUGGUAGCGCCCUUCGGGGUCUUUGCACAGGUGCUGCAUGGCUGUCGUCAGCUCGUGCCGUGAGGUGUUGGGUUAAGUCCCGCAACGAGCGCAACCCUUAUCGUUAGUUGCCAACAGGUGAAGCUGGGAACUCUAACGAGACUGCCUGGGUUAACCAGGAGGAAGGUGAGGAUGACGUCAAGUCCGCAUGGCCCUUAUGUCUGGGGCUACACACGUGCUACAAUGGCCGGAACAGAAGGAAGCGAAGUCGCGAGGCGGAGCAAAUCCCCAAAGCCGGCCCCAGUUCAGAUUGCAGUCUGCAACUCGACUGCAUGAAGACGGAAUUGCUAGUAAUGGCGAGUCAGCAACAUCGCCGUGAAUACGUUCCCGGGCCUUGUACACACCGAGACGAC
rnacentral:rRNA from 1 species